rnacentral:rRNA from 1 species
GGCUCAGAUUGAACGCUGGCGGCAUGCCUUACACAUGCAAGUCGAACGGUAACAGGUCUUCGGAUGCUGACGAGUGGCGAACGGGUGAGUAAUACAUCGGAACGUGCCCGAGAGUGGGGGAUAACGGAGCGAAAGCUUUGCUAAUACCGCAUACGAUCUACGGAUGAAAGCAGGGGACCGCAAGGCCUUGCGCUCAUGGAGCGGCCGAUGGCAGAUUAGGUAGUUGGUGGGAUAAAAGCUUACCAAGCCGACGAUCUGUAGCUGGUCUGAGAGGACGACCAGCCACACUGGAACUGAGACACGGUCCAGACUCCUACGGGAGGCAGCAGUGGGGAAUUUUGGACAAUGGACGCAAGUCUGAUCCAGCCAUUCCGCGUGCAGGACGAAGGCCUUCGGGUUGUAAACUGCUUUUGUACAGAACGAAAAGGUCUCUAUUAAUACUAGGGGCUCAUGACGGUACUGUAAGAAUAAGCACCGGCUAACUACGUG